AACUGAAACAUCUAAGUACCCGGAGGAAGAGAAAGAAUAAUCGAUUCCCUGAGUAGCGGCGAGCGAAACGGGAAGAGCCCAAACCGAAUCCUUCGGGAUUCGGGGUUGUAGGACCCUCUUUUAAGAAUGGUUUCCUAGCUGAACAGGACUGGAAAGUCCGGGCAGAGAAGGUAACACCCCUGUAAACGAAAGGAAAGCAUUCUGUGAGGGAAUCCUGAGUACCGCGGGACACGUGAAACCCCGUGGGAAGCAGGGAGGACCACCUCCCAAGGCUAAAUACUUCUUAGCGACCGAUAGUGAACCAGUACCGUGAGGGAAAGGUGAAAAGCACCUCGGAAGAGGAGUGAAAAAGAACCUGAAACCGUGCGCUUACAAGCAGUUAUAGCUUGCUCUCAGUUUACUGAGAGCGAGUGAUAGCGUGCCUUUUGUAGAAUGAACCGGCGAGUUACGGUAUGUAGCGAGGUUAAGGCGAGAAGCUGGAGCCGAAGCGAAAGCGAGUCUGAAAAGGGCG
rnacentral:rRNA from 1 species